rnacentral:rRNA from 1 species
GCAAGUCGAACGAUGAACUGGUCUUCGGACUAGGGAAGAGUGGCAAACGGGUGAGUAACACGUAAGUGACCUGCCCUUAAGUUGGGGACAACCCCGGGAAACCGGGGCUAAUACCGAAUGUGAUGGCCGGCUAAAGUCGGUCAUUAAAGCCUUAGGGCGCUUAGGGAGGGGCUUGCGCCCGAUUAGCUUGUUGGUGGGGUAAAGGCCUACCAAGGCGACGAUCCAUAGCUGGUCUGAGAGGACGAUC